rnacentral:misc_RNA from 1 species
CAACCCUCAAGCCCCAGCGGCCUGGUGUUGGGGACCGGCGAGCGAAGCCCCUCCGGGGGGUUCACGCCGCCCCCGAAAUGAAUUGGCGGUCUCGUCGCGGCCUCCUCUGCGUAGUAGCACAACCUCGCAACAGGAGCGCGGCGCGGCCACUGCCGUAAAACGCCCAAACUUUUUUUUAG